rnacentral:rRNA from 1 species
GACGAACCGUGCGAACGUUGUUCGGAAUCACUGGGCUUAAAGGGCGCGUAGGCGGGUCCGCGAGUCUGCGGUGAAAGCCCCCAGCUCAACUGGGGAAGUGCCGUGGAUACUGCGGGUCUUGAGGAGGGUAGGGGCAUCUGGAACAUUGGGUGGAGCGGUGAAAUGCGUUGAUAUCCAAUGGAACUCCGGUGGCGAAGGCGAGGUGCUGGACCCUUCCUGACGCUGAGGCGCGAAAGCGUGGGGAGCGAACAGG